AACAAACUGUUUUGUAGAAUAAAAGAAUAUGAAAAAGAGGUUAAAUGAAUAAAAGGUGAUUUUACACGUGGCAUUAGAACGACGACGGAUGAUGUACCUAGUCAGCCGGAGCUGCGUGGAGACCGCGUGCAGGUAUAUCAUUCCAACAAACAAGUCGAAUUCAAAUAAGGUGUGUUUGGAUGAAAAAGAAUUAACGUUUUUUUUUGUUUUUUUUUUUUUGUAACUCUUGUUAAAACAAAUUAAACUGAUAUUAAAUAAACUUACCAUGUUUAUACCCAUUGAAAACCGUAGUCGUUUCUCUUUUCCACUUUUUUAUUAGUGUCUUCUUCGUUAAUUCUGCAUGUUGAACUCUUAGAAAAACUUAAUUCUUUUUCUCUAA